AGUGAACGCUGGCGGUAGGCCUAACACAUGCAAGUCGAACGGCAGCACAGGAGAGCUUGCUCUCUGGGUGGCGAGUGGCGGACGGGUGAGGAAUACAUCGGAAUCUACCUUUUCGUGGGGGAUAACGUAGGGAAACUUACGCUAAUACCGCGUACGACCUACGGGUGAAAGUGGGGGACCGCAAGGCCUCACGCGAUUAG
rnacentral:rRNA from 1 species